rnacentral:rRNA from 1 species
CACGAAUGGCGUAACGAUGGCCACGCUGUCUCCACCCGAGACUCAGUGAAAUUGAAAUCGCCGUGAAGAUGCAGUGUACCCGCGGCUAGACGGAAAGACCCCGUGAACCUUUACUACAGCUUGGCACUGAACAUUGACCCUACAUGUGUAGGAUAGGUGGGAGGCUUUGAAACCAGCACGCCAGUGUUGGUGGAGCCGUCCUUGAAAUACCACCCUUGUAGUGUUGAUGUUCUAACGUCGACCCCUUAUCGGGGUUACGGACAGUGCC